rnacentral:rRNA from 1 species
UCUGGUGCCAGCAGCCGCGGUAAUUCCAGCUCCAAUAGCGUAUAUUAAAGUUGUUGCGGUUAAAAAGCUCGUAGUUGGAUCUCGGUUUCACUCAGGUGGUACACCUUGCGGUGUUCACUAUCUGGGUGGACGUUUCUGUUGGUUCGCUCUUGGUGCUCUUCAUCGGGUGCCAUUUGGUGGCCAGCACGUUUACUUUGAAAAAAUUGGAGUGCUCAAAGCAGGCGUUACAGCCUGAACAUUAGUGCAUGGAAUAAUGGAAUAGGAUCUCGAUUCUAUUUCGUUGGCUUUCGGAGUCGAGGUAAUGAUUAAUAGGGACAGACGGGGGCAUUCGUACUGCGGCGUUAGAGGUGAAAUUCUUGGAUCGUCGCAAGACGAACUACUGCGAAAGCAUUUGCCAAGGAUGUUUUCAUUAAUCAAAAACGAAAGUUAGAGGUUCGAAGGCGAUCAGAUACCGCCCUAGUUCUAACCAUAAACGAUGCCAACCGGCGAUCCGUCGUCGUUAAUUGAAUGACUCGACGGGCAGCCUCCGGGAAACCAGAGUGUUUGGGUUCCGGGGGAAGUAUGGUUGCAAAGCUGAAACUUAAAGGAAUUGACGGAAGGGCACCACCAGGAGUGGAGCCUGCGGCUUAAUUUGACCCAACACGGGAAAUCUCACCAGGCCCGGACACCGGAAGGAUUGACAGAUUGAGAGCUCUUUCUUGAUUCGGUGGGUGGUGGUGCAUGGCCGUUCUUAGUUGGUGGAGCGAUUUGUCUGGUUAAUUCCGAUAACGAACGAGACUCUGGCCUACUAACUAGAAGGUCUAUCCUUUAUGGGUAGGCCUCUGCUUCUUAGAGGGACGGGCGGCGUUUAGCCGCACGAGAAUGAGCAAUAACAGGUCUGUGAUGCCCUUAGAUGUUCUGGGCUGCACGCGCGCUACACUGAAGGAAUCAGCAUGUUCUCCCCUCCCUGAAAAGGGCGGGUAACCCGUUGAAACUCCUUCGUGAUGGGGAUUGGAGAUUGUAAUUAUUCUCCAUGAACGAGGAAUUCCCAGUAGGCGCGAGUCACCAGCUUGCGUCGAUUACGUCCCUGCCCUUUGUACACACCGCCCGUCGCUACUACCGAUCGAGUGAUUUAGUGAGGACUUCGGACUGGUCUUCAAGUUGGCUUCGGUCGGCUCGAAGUUCCGGAAAGAUGCCCAAACUUGAUCACUUAGAGGAAGUAAAAGUCGUAACAAGGUUUCCGUAGGUGAACCUGCGGAAG